AAGCUUUGUAAAGCCCAUCUUAGAAAAAGAGUAAGUCGACUUGAAACGCGUCGGGUUCUGUUUCAAGGGUUGAACCCUUAUUCUUCUCCGCCGUCGUGAUGUAGCCUCCAACUCUAGGGUUUCGAUUCACCUUCUUCCUCCGGCCCUGAUUUUUACCAUGAUUGAGAUGAUGUUGUUUUGUUUCUGGGAGGCGAGGAAUGUUAGGUGGGGUGAUGAACUCAUGUCUGUCCACAUCUCUUGCUUGAUUUAAAGGUGACUCUUACGCCAGCCACCAUAAGUGCUAAUCGGGUUCCAACCUUAUCUUCAAGCGUCGGCGAGAAAGAAAUAGAGUUCGUUUGUCUCAAGAAGGGGAAGGAGAAGCUGAACAAGGCCACCCGCAUACCAUCUUUUAUUCUGAUGAAGACGAGCCGGAAGAUCAUCAACCAAGGAGUUCCGACAAGCUUCAGCUGUCAGGGACGAAGCGACCGGUUGGAGGGGUUUCAACCAACGUUAGGUUCGAAGGGAGUCAAGAAAAUCUAUAAACAAUGUGAGAAAAUGGGAUCAAAUUCUAAAAGACUUUUUGGUGAGAAAGAUGAGAUUGUUUUGCUACAAGGUAUAAUUGAUUCCAAAGGGAAGAAUCCACUAGAAGAUAGGCUCUACGAAUCAUGAAGGGUUCUCUUAGCUUUGAUGUUACCUUGAGACAGUUCAAGGAGAAGCUUCAGACUAUGA